CCCGGUGACCCAAAUCCUGGGGGGCCACACCCGUUCCCAUUCCGAAUACGGUAGUUAAGCCCCUGGGGCCGAUGAUACUCCUCGGUUGGGGGAAAGUAGGUCGUUGCCGGGC
rnacentral:rRNA from 1 species